UGCUGGGUGGAUUAGUGGCGAACGGGUGAGUAACACGUGAGUAACCUGCCCUUGACUCUGGGAUAAGCGCUGGAAACGGCGUCUAAUACCGGAUACGACCUGCCCCGGCAUCGGGUGCGGGUGGAAAGUUUUUCGGUCAAGGAUGGACUCGCGGCCUAUCAGCUUGUUGGUGAGGUAAUGGCUCACCAAGGCGACGACGGGUAGCCGGCCUGAGAGGGUGACCGGCCACACUGGGACUGAGACACGGCCCAGACUCCUACGGGAGGCAGCAGUGGGGAAUAUUGCACAAUGGGCGAAAGCCUGAUGCAGCAACGCCGCGUGGGGGAUGACGGCCUUCGGGUUGUAAACCUCUUUUAGUAGGGAAGAAGGACUUCGGUUUGACGGUACCUGCAGAAAAAGCACCGGCUAACUACGUGCCAGCAG
rnacentral:rRNA from 1 species